GUAAGGCAAAUCAUCUUCAGACAUGGCAAGAAGACGACCGUCGAAGUAAACCAACCCAGCGUUAGCAACACCAGUCCCAUGGCUAGGAUCAACAAUACCAAAAAGCCCACGAGCAUAGAAUAGCAACAGCCUAGCUAUCCCAGAGUGGCCAUGGAGCUCACCGAUGGCCUUGGGGAAAACUGGACGUCCCAAUUCUUUCUCUUGAACCAGCCGGUUUGUCUCCGUGAAGCGGCAAGCAUAACUCACGGACCCAUUCUCAAACCGGACAGCAUGAACCAUCCCAUCACCGUCAAAAAAGUGGUGUCCAGCCACCGGCUCGUGAAGCGGGUUUGCUCCGUUUCGAAGAUAAACACCUCGAAUGCUAUCUGGGAUUUUCCCGGUAACGGGCAAAUUAUGUACAACGGGUUGCUCCGGCACGGGAGCGAAGUUGCCGGAGAUUUGGACCGUUGGGUUAGCAGUUUUGGGAAGAGGGUAUCGACGUUCAUGUAAAACUAAAGCAGUCUCCACAACAUCUAAGGCCAAAGCUGCAGCUCUCUGUAAAAAGUUCCAUUGCUUUGGCUCUUGUGCCAAUGAUUUAUCAACCGAAGGAGGAGAAGGAGUAAUUUUCUUAGGAUUUCUUGUGGAAAUAGAAGGUGAGGGAGGAUAAGUAGUGGUUCUUGUGGAUUGUUUAGGAAAAUGGAGAAUGGAAGGAGUAUGGAGAGAGCAAGAGAUGUAAGGCUUUCUACUAGGCAUGUCAAGAGAGGCCAUGCUUAUAGCAGAUGCAGGAGGCGAUGAAGAAGACAUGGUUGUGUAAUUGAGAUUAAUGUAUAAGUUUGAGGUGUUUAGUUGGGCCUGGAAGAGUUGAAGAGGAGAGAAAAGAGUGAGUUAGGUGAAGACAAGCAAAAGGCUAUGGCUGUU
rnacentral:misc_RNA from 1 species